rnacentral:lncRNA from 1 species
GCACCUUAACAGCUGAGAAACAAGCUUGAUAUUAGUUUCUCUAUGACAGGAUACCUUGCAUGAGACGAGACGUGCAGAACAAAGCGGCCUGCUGAACCUUGCACUCGUUGCACCCACUCGGAAUUCAAGGGCUUCAAGCCAUGGGCCUGGAGCCAUGGGCCCGACGUGAAGAUUAUGAAUUUACAUUGAAGAAGGAGCAGGUCGCAAUACAGAAACGACAACUGGAACUGGACGAGAAAAAGUUGGCAUUGGAAGAAAGGACAGUUGCCCUGGAGGAGGAGCAGCAUGGCUUGCAAAUUCAAACUUUGAAAGAACAACACAAUCAGCUGUUCGAGCGCAUGGAGCGCAUUGAGAAUAUUUUGAAGGACAGAAUUACUGGGCUGAAUGCUAUCUAAAUAAUUUCUUGUAAUCAUAGAUGCACAUGUCAAUUUAAUGGAGUACUAGAAGACACAGACAUGCAGUUAAUAUCCUAAACAUACCUAAACAGCUUGACAUAGCUUGCUGUCAGUCACGAUUGCUUGCUCAGGGAGGAUGGUAUUGGGUAAAUCACAUGGGUGAAGGCUGUUUCCAACUUUCCAUAUGUUUUUUUUUUUGUAACAGCCACUUUUUUCGUGUUCAUUCCUCAAAGAAAACAGACUCAAUUUGCUCAACUAUCUUCUGCUGUUUAUUAUGAUUGCUCCAAGUACUCAAUAAAAGAAACUUGAUAGUUUGGCCUGUGUUACAUAACAAUGCAAUAAAAGAAGCAAUAUUUUAA